UACGAAGGGGGCUAGCGUUGUUCGGAUUUACUGGGCGUAAAGCGCGUGUAGGCGGCCAUCUAAGUCGGGCGUGAAAUCCCACGGCUCAACCGUGGAAGUGCACUCGAAACUGGAUGGCUAGAGUCCUGGAGAGGAAGGUGGAAUGCUUGGUGUAGAGGUGAAAUUCGUAGAUAUCAAGCGGAACACCGGUGGCGAAGGCGGCCUUCUGGGACAGUGACUGACGCUGAGACGGCGAAAAGCGUGGGGAGCAAACA
rnacentral:rRNA from 1 species